AAAAGGCCAAAUACAACACUUAUAUACAAACAAAAGUAUUUAUUUCUAAAAAACAAAACAAAAAAUAUUGCACAAAUUGAGAUUCAGUAGCACCAUAUAUAUUUCCCAUCCCUAAAAGUAAUAGCAUAAGCAGUGUAAAGAAAUUUGAUGGCAACAGUAAUACAAGAGAACAAAAAUUCUAGUAGGAACAACAAUAUCAGCUGCCAAGGUGAACAAUAACAGUUUCAGUCCUCUUAAUCAACAGGAAAGGGAUAGUUGUAUUUUUAACAAUCCUACAUGCAUUUGACAAAUCCAAAAGUAAAAAAACAAACAUUUUUUAACUGUCUUGUUUGUCGAGUAACUUUAAUAUUUGAAGAACUCAUAUUUCUUUUUCAUAUAUUUUUAUCUAAUUCUUCCAUUGAUUAUCCACUUUUGAACAAGUUGUUGAUUUUUCUAUUGCUAUUGCGAACUCUUUGUGUUUGAAUUAAAAAAAUUACCAGUUUUUCGUAUGGCUUGUAUAUUUUAAAAGCUGUAAAAGCCUUACUUCAAAAGUUUCAAAAGAAAGAAAUAUUCUACCCCUAGUGGAUACAAUCAUUAUAUCUAAAUAUUCUCCCAAUUUCAUAUAUUUAAAAUUAAUGAAAAGCCCCUUUUGCUACACUGCUUGUGCAUAUAACUAAACAUAAAAUGAUUAGUAUCUACAAUACCAAUAAAAGAAAAUGGUCCAUUGUUUUGCUACAUAAUAUUUCACACCAAGUUACAAAUAUGAAGACCAUAUAAAAAAAAUCCUGUCAACAUAACAAAAAUAUCCUAAUAAACAAUGAUAACAGACAUACUCUUUCAUAUAAUUUAAACAUCUCAUUUUCGCUGUCCCUAUCUAGGCACAUAGAUGAAUUCUACCUACUUCUUUGACAAUUUAAUGCCUUCAAAUAGAUUUAUAUUCUCAUGAAAGUUGCCAGAUUAAAUUACAAAAUUCCAGUCAUGAGUGUUAUUACUUUAACUGUUAAGCCAGUUUUUGUUAUAUCUAUUUUGCGUGACUGUAUUUAUGCAUCCCGUCAUACUUUGAACGACAAAAUUAUUUCAUGUCUACCUGUGCGAUUU
rnacentral:lncRNA from 1 species